CCCCAAGCACGCCACAUUCCUCCUCCUCACCCCUCCCUCCCAGGCUUGCGCUAAUCAGCUGUAUGGCGGCACAAGCGCUGGAGGGAGGGGGGAGAAGCAGGAUGCGGCGGCCAGCUCAGGUACUGUCCGGUUUGGCCAAUGUACAUAGCAGAGGGGCAUUGCUGGCACAUGAUGGCAUAUAUCACAUUAGUAGACGUGCAGCUCUACUCGAUGAGCCCUUUUGCCUGGUCACAGAAGGCAGCCAUGUGGCUCCAGUGCUCUGGGACACAAAAGUGGGUGCUGCCAGUGCUACUGGCAGCACGUGCCUGCACAGAUGGCAUAUCUGAGUGGGACAUCAUGACCUCUUCCUCAGUGAAAGAAUUAGUACGGUGCUUGAGGGUGGCAUAAUAGCCCCAGGCAUCAGUGACUCCUCCCCUUUCAGCACCACUCUACAUCUUAAGACCAUAAUUUGAUCCUUAGACUGCAACUCACAAAGUUGGACUGUGGUAUUUACAAGAGGAGUCAGACUCCAUACAACUCAAUAUAAGGACCUGGUUUUCUGAGAGUGUUAAGCACCUGCAUCUCCUGUCCUGAGAAUCAAUGCUAUAAAUUCUACUAACUGAAUUUUGUGCUCCUCCAUAUUUUGUAUAUGUAAUGCUAUCAGACCCCAUUUGGUGGCGGCUGGAUCAAACCUAGGACCUCUUGAAUUUAAUGCACGAGCUUCUACAGCCUGAGCUAAAAGGCAUGUCUCUCUUAGGCAAGGCUAUAGCAGGCUCAUCAACCUGUAGCAGGUUUAGCUGCCACUAGAGGGAGACAGAGUGCUACACCAAGCAGGCAUGUGUUACAGAUAGCUCUAAUCCAGGGGUGGGCAAACUACAGCCUGGGGACUGCAUCUCGCCCUCCAGAUGUUUUAAUCCAGCCCUCGAGCUCCCGCCGGGGAGUGGAGUCAGGGUCUUGCCCCACUCCACGCAGCUCCUGGAAGUAGCGGCAUGUCCCCUCUUUGGCUCCCUUGCGUAGGUGCAGCCUGGAGGCUCUGCACUAUGCCCCUACCCCAAGUGCUACCCCCACAGCUCCCAUUGGCCAGGAACCGCAGCCAAUGGGAGCUGCAGGGGCAUCGCCUGAGGACAGGGCAGCGUGCAGAGCCACUUGCCCAUGCCUACAUAUAGGAGCUGGAGGGGGGACAUGCUGCUUCUCUGGAAGCUGCUUGAAGUAAGCCCCACCCAGAGCCUGCACCCCUGACUCCCUCCUGCGCCACAACCCUCUUCCCCAGCCCUGUUCCCUCUCCCACCCUCUGAACCCCUCAAGUCCCAGCCCGGAGCACCCUUCUGCACCCCAACCCCUAAUUUUGUGAGCAUUCAUGCCCACCACGCAAUUUCCAUACCCAGAUGGGGCCCUCAGGCCAAAAAGUUUGCCCACUCUUGCUCUAAUCACACUAUCAGUUCUUAUCAAAAAGUAAAAGUAAGGGUUCAUUCUCCAUCAAGCAGUGAGCAAACAAAGGCCAAGGUCUCAGCUGAUGAUGCUCUUUUUCUCUCCCUCCGCAAAGUGUUUCAGAUUGGCAAAAAAGGGUCAAAUUAUUGAGCAGUGUGGAUGCAUUACAGACUUGCUUUAUUUUGCUCUGCAUAAUCAGUCCAUUAAAGGAACAAAACAAUGGAAGAUAUACCUUAACAUCAGAAGACCAUCUGUAUGCAUCACCUGUCAAACACGGCCUCCCCCCAUAAGAGCUAAGCAAAUAAAUGCUCCCUGCCCUUGGAGGACGCCUAUAUUCUCUUUGUAAAAAAACCGGCUGAAUAGUAAAGAGACAAUACCUUAUUCCCCUGGGCUGGGAAUGCUGGAGACAGGGAACAUAAGGAAUGGGUGGAGAAGUAGUAUUUUAUUAGUAUUCAUAUAGCACCUUAAGUUCACAUAGUGCUUUCAAGACAUGUAAAACCAUCAUGACUUUGCACCAAAAACUUACAAUCUAAGGGACCACCUGCAGUACAGAUUUUACUGUGUUUGUAGCCUAGUCACAGCAAGACUGGCUUUUGACAGGGUUUAGGUCCAAGCAACUCACCUUUCCUACAUGGACCAUCAGUGGCCUUAGGGGGUGGGCCACUCUGGCGAUCACUGAGGGUGCUGUGGUCAGGAGAGCACCGCACGGCAGCGCAGAGGUGCACGCUGCAGGUGUAGUGUCAGAAACUGUUCCCGGCUGGCAGGGGAGCACCACAAUCUCCUGGAGGCGACGCAUGGGGGAAG